AACGAACCGAAAGGAGGUGAUCCAAUGUCGAGUGAUUUCCGUUCAAGCGUGGUCUCGAUGGAUUGCCUUCGCGGGGAGCAGUCUUCCCGCUGAAGCGCAUGAAGCGCGGAUGGACUGCCACCGCAGACCAGCCAUGACCGCGUGAGAAUUCGAAAACACGGGGCCGUUCCUUCGGGAACGGCCU
rnacentral:misc_RNA from 1 species